AAAUUAUCCCAAAAACAACAUCCCUCAAACAAAAAAAACUAUAAACUAAAAUCUUCCCUACUUUAAAUUUAUCAAAUCAAAUAUAAAACACCUAAAAACUUACUUAAUAAUCCCAUAACUAAAUCUUCAUACUCCCAAUACAAAAAACCUAAAUUCCAUCCCUAAUUAAAAAAUUAAAUCCCAUAUAUCUCAACUAAAAAUCUCACAU
rnacentral:misc_RNA from 1 species